UACGUAGGGGGCAAGCGUUGUCCGGAUUUAUUGGGCGUAAAGAGCGUGUAGGCGGCUAGGUAGGUCCGUUGUGAAAACUCGAGGCUCAACCUCGAGACGUCGAUGGAAACCAUCUAGCUAGAGUCCGGAAGAGGAGAGUGGAAUUCCAGGUGUAGCGGUGAAAUGCGUAGAUAUCUGGAGGAACACCGGUGGCGAAGGCGGCAUCCUGGACCGGUAUUGACGCUGAGGAGCGAAAGCCAGGGGAGCAAACGGG
rnacentral:rRNA from 1 species